rnacentral:rRNA from 1 species
AUUGAACGCUGGCGGCAGGCCUAACACAUGCAAGUCGAGCGGAUGAAGGGAGCUUGCUCCUGGAUUCAGCGGCGGACGGGUGAGUAAUGCCUAGGAAUCUGCCUGGUAGUGGGGGAUAACGUCCGGAAACGGGCGCUAAUACCGCAUACGUCCUGAGGGAGAAAGUGGGGGAUCUUCGGACCUCACGCUCUCAGAUGAGCCUAGGUCGGAUUAGCUAGUUGGUGGGGUAAAGGCAUACCAAGGCGACGAUCCGGAACUGGUCUGAGAGGAUGAUCAGUCACAGUAGCACAGAGACGCGGUACAGACUUAUACGAGGGACAAGAGUGGGGAAUAUUGGACUGGGGGAGAAAGCGUGAGACAGACAUGCCGCGUGUGUGAAGAAGGUCUGCGGAGUGAAAAGCACUUUAAGGUGAGAGGAAGAGCAGUAAGUUAAUGCCUAGCUGUUUAGAGGUUACAAACAGAAUGAGCACCGGAUAACUUCG